UAAGGAAUAUUGGUCAAUGGACGCAAGUCUGAACCAGCCAUGCCGCGUGGAGGAUGAAGGUCCUCUGGAUUGUAAACUUCUUUUCUCUGGGGCGAAAAAAGGGUAUUCUUACUCACUUGACAGUACCAGAGGAAUAAGCACCGGCUAACUCCGUGCCAGCAGCCGCGGUAAUACGGAGGGUGCAAGCGUUAUCCGGAUUCACUGGGUUUAAAGGGUGCGUAGGUGGGAAGGUAAGUCAGUGGUGAAAUCCCCGAGCUUAACUUGGGAACUGCCAUUGAUACUAUCUUUCUUGAAUACCUUGGAGGUGAGCGGAAUAUGUCAUGUAGCGGUGAAAUGCUUAGAUAUGACAUAGAACACCAAUUGCGAAGGCAGCUCACUACACGGUCAUUGACACUGAGGCACGAAAGCGUGGGGAUCAAACAGGAUUAGAUACCCCGGUAGUCC
rnacentral:rRNA from 1 species